rnacentral:rRNA from 1 species
GACGCUGGCGGCAGGCCUAACACAUGCAAGUCGAGCGGUAGAGAGAAGCUUGCUUCUCUUGAGAGCGGCGGACGGGUGAGUAAUGCCUAGGAAUCUGCCUGGUAGUGGGGGAUAACGUUCGGAAACGGACGCUAAUACCGCAUACGUCCUACGGGAGAAAGCAGGGGACCUUCGGGCCUUGCGCUAUCAGAUGAGCCUAGGUCGGAUUAGCUAGUUGGUGAGGUAAUGGCUCACCAAGGCGACGAUCCGUAACUGGUCUGAGAGGAUGAUCAGUCACACUGGAACUGAGACACGGUCCAGACUCCUACGGGAGGCAGCAGUGGGGAAUAUUGGACAAUGGGCGAAAGCCUGAUCCAGCCAUGCCGCGUGUGUGAAGAAGGUCUUCGGAUUGUAAAGCACUUUAAGUUGGGAGGAAGGGUUGUAGAUUAAUACUCUGCAAUUUUGACGUUACCGACAGAAUAAGCACCGGCUAACUCUGUGCCAGCAGCCGCGGUAAUACAGAGGGUGCAAGCGUUAAUCGGAAUUACUGGGCGUAAAGCGCGCGUAGGUGGUUUGUUAAGUUGGAUGUGAAAUCCCCGGGCUCAACCUGGGAACUGCAUUCAAAACUGACUGACUAGAGUAUGGUAGAGGGUGGUGGAAUUUCCUGUGUAGCGGUGAAAUGCGUAGAUAUAGGAAGGAACACCAGUGGCGAAGGCGACCACCUGGACUAAUACUGACACUGAGGUGCGAAAGCGUGGGGAGCAAACAGGAUUAGAUACCCUGGUAGUCCACGCCGUAAACGAUGUCAACUAGCCGUUGGAAGCCUUGAGCUUUUAGUGGCGCAGCUAACGCAUUAAGUUGACCGCCUGGGGAGUACGGCCGCAAGGUUAAAACUCAAAUGAAUUGACG